AAUUCGAUUAGAGUUUGAUCAUGGCUCAGAACGUACGCUGGCGGCACGCCUAACACAUGCAAGUCGAACGAAGUAGCAAUACUUAGUGGCAGACGGGUGAGUAACAUGUAGGUAUCUGCCCUUUGGCCUGGAAUAACACGAGGAAACUUGUGCUAAUACCGGAUAAGUCUUUACGGAGAAAGCUUUAUGCACCAUUGGAUGAGCCUGCACUUGAUUAGUUUGUUGGUGGGGUAAUGGCCUACCAAGACUGUGAUCAAUAGCUGAUUUGAGAGGAUGAUCAGCCACAUUGGGACUGAGACACGGCCCAAACUCCUACGGGAGGCAGCAGUGGGGAAUCUUGCACAAUGGAGGAAACUCUGAUGCAGCGAUGCCGCGUGAGUGAAGAAGGCCCUUGGGUUGUAAAGCUCUUUCGUCGGGGAAGAAAAUGACUGUACCCGAAUAAGAAGGUCCGGCUAACUUCGUGCCAGCAGCCGCGGUAAUACGAAGGGACCUAGCGUAGUUCGGAAUUACUGGGCUUAAAGAGUUCGUAGGUGGUUGAAAAAGUUGGUGGUGAAAUCCCAGGGCUUAACUCUGGAACUGCCAUCAAAACUUUUCAGCUAGAGUAUGAUAGAGGAAAGCAGAAUUUCUAGUGUAGAGGUGAAAUUCGUAGAUAUUAGAAAGAAUACCAAUUGCGAAGGCAGCUUUCUGGAUCAUUACUGACACUGAGGAACGAAAGCAUGGGUAGCGAAGAGGAUUAGAUACCCUCGUAGUCCAUGCCGUAAACGAUGUGUGUUAGACGUUGGAAAUUUAUUUUCAGUGUCGCAGCGAAAGCAAUAAACACACCGCCUGGGGAGUACGACCGCAAGGUUAAAACUCAAAUGAAUUGACGGGGACCCGCACAAGUAGUGGAGCAUGUGGUUUAAUUCGAAGAUACGCGCAGAACCUUACCAACACUUGACAUGUUCGUCGCGACUCUAAGAGAUUAGAGUUUUCGGUUCGGCCGGACGAAACACAGGUGCUGCAUGGCUGUCGUCAGCUCGUGUCGUGAGAUGUUGGGUUAAGUCCCGCAACGAGCGCAACCCUCACUUUUAGUUGCCAUCAUUAAGUUGGGCACUCUGAAAGAACUGCCAGUGAUAAGCUGGAGGAAGGUGGGGAUGACGUCAAGUCCUCAUGGCCCUUACGUGUUGGGCUACACACGUGCUACAAUGGUAUCUACAACAGGAAGCAAGACGGUGACGUUAAGCAAAUCCUUAAAAGAUACCUCAGUUCGGAUUGCACUCUGCAACUCGAGUGCAUGAAGCUGGAAUUACUAGUAAUCGUGGAUCAGCGUGCCACGGUGAAUGCGUUCCCGGGUCUUGUAGA
rnacentral:rRNA from 1 species